GGUGAGGUGGCAGAGCGGUUUAAUGCGCGCGCCUCGAAAGCGCGUGGACCCUCGCGGGUCUCGUGGGUUCGAAUCCCACCCUCACCGCCA
rnacentral:tRNA from 1 species